UACGUAGGGUGCAAGCGUUAAUCGGAAUUACUGGGCGUAAAGCGUGCGCAGGCGGUUUUGUAAGACAGAGGUGAAAUCCCCGGGCUCAACCUGGGAACUGCCUUUGUGACUGCAAAGCUGGAGUACGGCAGAGGGGGAUGGAAUUCCGCGUGUAGCAGUGAAAUGCGUAGAUAUGCGGAGGAACACCGAUGGCGAAGGCAAUCCCCUGGGCCUGUACUGACGCUCAUGCACGAAAGCGUGGGGAGCAAACAGGAUUAGAUACCCUGGUAGUCCACGCCCUAAACGAUGUCAACUGGUUGUUGGGUGGGUUUCUACUCAGUAACGAAGCUAACGCGUGAAGUUGACCGCCUGGGGAGUACGGCCGCAAGGUUGAA
rnacentral:rRNA from 1 species